GUAAAUAUAACUCAGUUGGUAGAGUAAUGAAUUGUGGAUUCAUAUGUCAAGGGUUCAACCCCCUUUAUUUACCCUA
rnacentral:tRNA from 1 species